rnacentral:rRNA from 1 species
CGGGACACGUGGUAUCCUGUCUGAAUAUGGGGGGACCAUCCUCCAAGGCUAAAUACUCCUGACUGACCGAUAGUGAACCAGUACCGUGAGGGAAAGGCGAAAAGAACCCCGGCGAGGGGAGUGAAAAAGAACCUGAAACCGUGUACGUACAAGCAGUGGGAGCACGCUUAGGCGUGUGACUGCGUACCUUUUGUAUAAUGGGUCAGCGACUUAUAUUCUGUAGCAAGGUUAACCGAAUAGGGGAGCCGAAGGGAAACCGAGUCUUAACUGGGCGUUAAGUUGCAGGGUAUAGACCCGAAACCCGGUGAUCUAGCCAUGGGCAGGUUGAAGGUUGGGUAACACUAACUGGAGGACCGAACCGACUAAUGUUGAAAAAUUAGCGGAUGACUUGUGGCUGGGGGUGAAAGGCCAAUCAAACCGGGAGAUAGCUGGUUCUCCCCGAAAGCUAUUUAGGUAGCGCCUCGUGAAUUCAUCUCCGGGGGUAGAGCACUGUUUCGGCAAGGGGGUCAUCCCGACUUACCAACCCGAUGCAAACUGCGAAUACCGGAGAAUGUUAUCACGGGAGACACACGGCGGGUGCUAACGUCCGUCGUGAAGAGGGAAACAACCCAGACCGCCAGCUAAGGUCCCAAAGUCAUGGUUAAGUGGGAAACGAUGUGGGAAGGCCCAGACAGCCAGGAUGUUGGCUUAGAAGCAGCCAUCAUUUAAAGAAAGCGUAAUAGCUCACUGGUCGAGUCGGCCUGCGCGGAAGAUGUAACGGGGCUAAACCAUGCACCGAAGCUGCGGCAGCGACACUAUGUGUUGUUGGGUAGGGGAGCGUUCUGUAAGCCUGUGAAGGUGUACUGUGAGGUAUGCUGGAGGUAUCAGAAGUGCGAAUGCUGACAUAAGUAACGAUAAAGCGGGUGAAAAGCCCGCUCGCCGGAAGACCAAGGGUUCCUGUCCAACGUUAAUCGGGGCAGGGUGAGUCGACUCCUAAGGCGAGGCCGAAAGGCGUAGUCGAUGGGAAACAGGUUAAUAUUCCUGUACUUGGUGUUACUGCGAAGGGGGGACGGAGAAGGCUAUGUUGGCCGGGCGACGGUUGUCCCGGUUUAAGCGUGUAGGCUGGUUUUCCAGGCAAAUCCGGAAAACUAAGGCUGAGGCGUGAUGACGAGGCACUACGGUGCUGAAGCAACAAAUGCCCUGCUUCCAGGAAAAGCCUCUAAGCAUCAGGUAACAUCAAAUCGUACCCCAAACCGACACAGGUGGUCAGGUAGAGAAUACCAAGGCGCUUGAGAGAACUCGGGUGAAGGAACUAGGCAAAAUGGUGCCGUAACUUCGGGAGAAGGCACGCUGAUAUGUAGGUGAAGUCCCUCGCGGAUGGAGCUGAAAUCAGUCGAAGAUACCAGCUGGCUGCAACUGUUUAUUAAAAACACAGCACUGUGCAAACACGAAAGUGGACGUAUACGGUGUGACGCCUGCCCGGUGCCGGAAGGUUAAUUGAUGGGGUCAGCGCAAGCGAAGCUCUUGAUCGAAGCCCCGGUAAACGGCGGCCGUAACUAUAACGGUCCUAAGGUAGCGAAAUUCCUUGUCGGGUAAGUUCCGACCUGCACGAAUGGCGUAAUGAUGGCCAGGCUGUCUCCACCCGAGACUCAGUGAAAUUGAACUCGCUGUGAAGAUGCAGUGUACCCGCGGCAAGACGGAAAGACCCCGUGAACCUUUACUAUAGCUUGACACUGAACAUUGAGCCUUGAUGUGUAGGAUAGG